rnacentral:rRNA from 1 species
UGCAGUCGACGGCAGCACAGUAAGAGCUUGCUCUUAUGGGUGGCGAGUGGCGGACGGGUGAGGAAUACAUCGGAAUCUACCUUUUCGUGGGGGAUAACGUAGGGAAACUUACGCUAAUACCGCAUACGACCUUCGGGUGAAAGCAGGGGACCUUCGGGCCUUGCGCGGAUAGAUGAGCCGAUGUCGGAUUAGCUAGUUGGCGGGGUAAAGGCCCACCAAGGCGACGAUCCGUAGCUGGUCUGAGAGGAUGAUCAGCCACACUGGAACUGAGACACGGUCCAGACUCCUACGGGAGGCAGCAGUGGGGAAUAUUGGACAAUGGGCGCAAGCCUGAUCCAGCCAUACCGCGUGGGUGAAGAAGGCCUUCGGGUUGUAAAGCCCUUUUGUUGGGAAAGAAAAGCAGUCGAUUAAUACUCGGUUGUUCUGACGGUACCCAAAGAAUAAGCACCGGCUAACUUCGUGCCAGCAGCCGCGGUAAUACGAAGGGUGCAAGCGUUACUCGGAAUUACUGGGCGUAAAGCGUGCGUAGGUGGUUGUUUAAGUCUGUUGUGAAAGCCCUGGGCUCAACCUGGGAAUUGCAGUGGAUACUGGGCGACUAGAGUGUGGUAGAGGGUAGUGGAAUUCCCGGUGUAGCAGUGAAAUGCGUAGAGAUCGGGAGGAACAUCCAUGGCGAAGGCAGCUACCUGGAC